AUUGAACGCUGGCGGCAUGCCUUACACAUGCAAGUCGAACGGCAGCACGGGAGCAAUCCUGGUGGCGAGUGGCGAACGGGUGAGUAAUAUAUCGGGACGUGCCCAGUCGUGGGGGAUAACGUAGCGAAAGCUACGCUAAUACCGCAUACGAUCUAUGGAUGAAAGCGGGGGAUCGCAAGACCUCGCGCGAUUGGAGCGGCCGAUAUCAGAUUAGGUAGUUGGUGAGGUAAAGGCUCACCAAGCCGACGAUCUGUAGCUGGUCUGAGAGGACGACCAGCCACACUGGGACUGAGACACGGCCCAGACUCCUACGGGAGGCAGCAGUGGGGAAUUUUGGACAAUGGGCGCAAGCUUGAUCCAGCAAUGCCGCGUGCAGGAUGAAGGCCUUCGGGUUGUAAACUGCUUUUGUACGGAACGAAACGGUGAGCUCUAAUACAGUUUGCUAAUGACGGUACCGUAAGAAUAAGCACCGGCUAACUACGUGCCAGCAGCCGCAGUAAAAC
rnacentral:rRNA from 1 species